UACGUAGGGUGCAAGCGUUAAUCGGAAUUACUGGGCGUAAAGCGUGCGCAGGCGGUUAUGUAAGACAGAGGGGAAAUGCCCGGGCUUAACCUGGGAACUGCAUUUGUGACUGCAUGGCUAGAGUUUGGCAGAGGGGGGUAGAAUUCCACGUGUAGCAGUGAAAUGCGUAGAUAUGUGGAGGAACACCGAUGGCGAAGGCAGCCCCCUGGGUCAAGACUGACGCUCAUGCACGAAAGCGUGGGGAGCAAACAGG
rnacentral:rRNA from 1 species